rfam:Oryza punctata chromosome 6, whole genome shotgun sequence.
AAAGAAUGUAGUUUUAUGUGUUUGUGUCUAACGUUUGACUGUUCGUUUUAUUUGAAUUUUUUUUAAUUGAUAUUUUUAUUGUUAUUAGAUGAUAAAACAUGAAUAAUACUUUAAACAUGACUAGCUUUUAUUAAUUUUUUCAUAAACUUUUCAAAUAAGACUGAUGAUCAAAAGUUGGAUACGAAAACCCAUGACUGUACUUAAA